rnacentral:misc_RNA from 1 species
AACCAUAGAAACCUGCGGAGUACCUGCGGAAGGAUCAUUAUAGUAUAUGGAGUCUCCAUUCUAUAAACCCACUCUGCGUAUCUUGUAACUGUUGCUUCCAUGGGACUUGGUUCCGCCACACCGGCUUCACGGCUGGUGAGCGCCCAUGGAAGGAGAAACAAAACUCUUCUUUGAAAUGUAGUCAGUCUGAACAAGUUUUUAUAAACGUUAAAACUUUUAGCAAUGGAUCUCAGAUCGGAA